ensembl:lncRNA
UAAGAGUUGUGAAUAGCAAUCUAGUCUACCACAAUAUGACUGCCUGUUUGUGAGAUUCCUGGGCUUUGUUUUCAGUCUCCCGUGCCCCACAAAGCUAUGAAAACUGAAGAUCUGGUUUGUUAGGAUCAGCAGAUGUUCUCAGGCAAAAGCAGUCUCAAUGCUUUAGUUGCCUCUUGAGUUUGUCUUGUUGCCUAGACCUACUGCUACCAACUCAUCCACCUCAAAAGAAAAAGUUGGGUUUCUUUCGCUGUUAAAAGUUCUAGCCAAAGUCCCAAAUUUGGCAUUGAUUGGCCUCAGACAGUUCCUAUGACCGUCUUUGAAUACUGUGGCCAGGAGUAAUAUGCUGAUCGGUUAGGUCUGGGUGACAGGUCCACUGCGGACUCAGGGGUAGGAUCGGUCCCAUGCAGGUGAUGUGACUGAGGGUAGGAAAAAUGUGGUUCCCAAAGGAAAAUUAGGAGGAAAUGGAUGCUGGGCAAGCAAAGACAACAGAUGUCUACGUUCUGUGCUUAUUCCUAAAAUCAAGGAUUUCAACAUGUGGAGAAUGAAGAAGAGGACAUUCCGGAUGGCAUGACGGCAUGAAGCUGUACAAUGGUGGGAUUGUUUGGGGAAAUAGUGGUGUCUUUUGACAAAGUGCAGAGUAUGUGAUGGGCACUGGAGUAGAAUAAAAGCUGGUGUCUUUUGGCCAGACAGCUGGUGGCCACAUGCUCCCCUAAGACACAUGGAUCUUAUUUGGCAGCUAUUGGGUCCCUAAUUCAAAUAUUUCCUAUAAAUUUUUAUCCCUCCAGAAUUAUCAGGCAGAAGGGAAAGACAAAUGAUGAGGACAGGAAAUGCAAGGAAAGGAAACGAAGCAAAAAGCUGACUAAUGUGGGUCAGGAUAAAAAUAAUGUAACCAAAGGAGUGGACAACAAGCAGAAGCAGAAACUGGGGGCUGUCAGAGGGCAGAGGAGGAAAACACUCUGGUUCCAGAGGGUGAGGCCCAGGAGUGGAUGCCUGCUGGAUGCUUCUGACCCUCAUCGAAGGAGACAGUGCCUGCCAGAAGGCACCAGUAUGGAGACAGAGACUGUCAACCACAAAAACCAAGACCUAUGAAUCACAUCCAAAACUAAGUGAAAGAUUUGAACCAGGUAGGGAGUAUUGCUACUGCAAGCAUUUGCUGAAAGGACAGAGAAUCUGAAAACUCGAAAGCUCUGGGUGAAGAGUUGGACUGGAGCGAGGAGUGUGGUCGCCGGCACAAUGAAGUAUUUUGAGUUUGAUGUUUUCUGACCCGCUGAAGCUAAACUAUAGCCCAUUUCAUUUUCAAACAGCCUCCCGGGAGCCCUGGGAUGACCUCAGUCAGGAUGUUCUCAAACAUAAUCUAGCCUGCGCAGUAACCUGACAAGAAUUGGUUUAUUUAAGGAACGCGGUGGGUCUUUUAGCCUCUAAAGGAACCCAUAGGUCAUUUGUAAAGGAACCAGCAUGACCUGUUGGAACUUCUCUUGGCACUGAUGCUCAGCCGUUUCAGGUUAGAACUUUGUUGCUUUGAGCUGGAAGCUCCACUGAAACUUGUGUAAUGGAGACCACAUAAAAUGUAGUUUCCAUUAAGAUAUUAGGAUGAACAGACAAGGACUUUAAAACAGCUCUAAUUAAUUCAAGAAAGUAGAGGGAAGUGUGGAGAAUUUCACCAGAGAACUGGGAUCUUUUAAAAAAUAGUCAAAUGGGGAUUCUAAAAAUGAAACAAAAAUGCAGUAUGAGAAAUUAAGAACUCAGUAGAUGGAUUUAACAGCAGAAUGGAUGCAGCAGAAGACAAGAUGAGUAAAUGCAACUAGGGGUCAAUUGAAAAUAUUCCUAGAGCAAAAUAAACAAACAGCCAAAUAUCACUUAAUGGAAUACCUUGCAGCAAGACCAAAAAUACAAACUACUGAUA